UUUUGACUUUUCGCUUGCUUUUUCUACUUUUCUUUUUGAAUAAACACUUUUGCGCGACUUGCUGACUUUCGGUUCCCUUCCCGCGAACAACAAACACAACA
rnacentral:ribozyme from 1 species